AUAACCUUGAGCAUUGAGUUCUGGUCUUGAUCUGACAAUACAUGUUUCUGGUCUGCAUUCUCAGUUAACUCAGCACCCCCAGCCUCUGAAAGAUCCCAAUCAUCAAAUAGACCUCCUUUCCGAUCUUUAGAGCUAUAACCCUUCAAAAUAUCAUCUUCCAACUUUUGUAUCAACUUUUGUUGUUCAUUAACUUUUGCAGUAAGCUCUGCUAUCUUGCUUUCAGCUGCUUCCAGCAAAGACACUUUCUCAGACAGUUUAACCUUCAACUGUGUGAGUUCAUGUUCCAUUUUCCUAUUCUUAUCCAGAAGAAGAGACUCCAUUUUGCUCAUCUCUUGCCCACUAGUAGCU
rnacentral:misc_RNA from 1 species